CCCGACUGCUAUCAGAGUGGGACUAAGCCAUGCGAGUCAACGUAGCAAUGCGUGGCGAACGGCUCAGUAACACGUAGUCAACAUGCCCAGGGGACGUGGAUAACCUCGGGAAACUGAGAUUAAACCGCGAUAGGUCAAGAUUUCUGGAAUGGAUCCUGGCUUAAAUCUACAUGGCCCCUGGAUUGGACUGCGGCCGAUCAGGCUGUUGGUGAGGUAAUGGCCCACCAAACCUAUAACCGGUACGGGCUCUGAGAGGAGAAGCCCGGAGAUGGGCACUGAGACAAGGGCCCAGGCCCUAUGGGGCGCAGCAGGCGCGAAACCUCUGCAAUAGGCGAAAGCCCGACAGGGUUACUCUGAGUGAUUUCCGCUAAGGGGAUCUUUUGGCACCUCUAAAAAUGGUGCAGAAUAAGGGGUGGGCAAGUCUGGUGU
rnacentral:rRNA from 1 species